rnacentral:rRNA from 1 species
UGCAGUCGAGCGGACAGAAGGGAGCUUGCUCCCGGAUGUUAGCGGCGGACGGGUGAGUAACACGUGGGUAACCUGCCUGUAAGACUGGGAUAACUCCGGGAAACCGGAGCUAAUACCGGAUAGUUCCUUGAACCGCAUGGUUCAAGGAUGAAAGACGGUUUCGGCUGUCACUUACAGAUGGACCCGCGGCGCAUUAGCUAGUUGGUGAGGUAACGGCUCACCAAGGCGACGAUGCGUAGCCGACCUGAGAGGGUGAUCGGCCACACUGGGACUGAGACACGGCCCAGACUCCCUACGGGAGGCAGCAGUAGGGAAUCUUCCGCAAUGGACGAAAGUCUGACGGAGCAACGCCGCGUGAGUGAUGAAGGUUUUCGGAUCGUAAAGCUCUGUUGUUAGGGAAGAACAAGUGCAAGAGUAACUGCUUGCACCUUGACGGUACCUAACCAGAAAGCCACGGCUAACUACGUGCCAGCAGCCGCGGUAAUACGUAGGUGGCAAGCGUUGUCCGGAAUUAUUGGGCGUAAAGGGCUCGCAGGCGGUUUCUUAAGUCUGAUGUGAAAGCCCCCGGCUCAACCGGGGAGGGUCAUUGGAAACUGGGAAACUUGAGUGCAGAAGAGGAGAGUGGAAUUCCACGUGUAGCGGUGAAAUGCGUAGAGAUGUGGAGCAACACCAGUGGCGAAGGCGACUCUCUGGUCUGUAACUGACGCUGAGGAGCGAAAGCGUGGGGAGCGAACAGGAUUAGAUACCCUGGUAGUCCACGCCGUAACGAUGAGUGCUAAGUGUUAGGGGGUUUCCGCCCCUUAGUGCUGCAGCUAACGCAUUAAGCACUCCGCCUGGGGAGUACGGUCGCAAGACUGAACUCAAAGGAAUUGACGGGGGCCCGCACAAGCGGUGGAGCAUGUGGUUUAAUUCGAAGCAACGCGAAGAACCUUACCAGGUCUUGACAUCCUGUGACAACCCUAGAGAUAGGGCUUUCCCUUCGGGGACAGAGUGACAGGUGGUGCAUGGUUGUCGUCAGCUCGUGUCGUGAGAUGUUGGGGUUAAGUCCCGCAACGAGCGCAACCCUUGAUCUUAGUUGCCAGCAUUUAGUUGGGCACUCUAAGGUGACUGCCGGUGACAAACCGGAGGAAGGUGGGGAUGACGUCAAAUCAUCAUGCCCCUUAUGACCUGGGCUACACACGUGCUACAAUGGACAGAACAAAGGGCUGCGAGACCGCAAGGUUUAGCCAAUCCCACAAAUCUGUUCUCAGUUCGGAUCGCAGUCUGCAACUCGACUGCGUGAAGCUGGAAUCGCUAGUAAUCGCGGAUCAGCAUGCCGCGGUGAAUACGUUCCCGGGCCUUGUACACACCGCCCGUCACACCACGAGAGUUUGCAACACCCGAAGUCGGUGAGGUAACCUUUAUGGAGCCAGCCGCCGAAGGUGGG